UUAUUAUUAUUUUUAUUUUAAAUGAGAAAAUGAGGUGUACUGAUUUGCAUACUGUACCAUAGAACAUGGUCAUAAUCAUCAUCAUCAUAAGAGCAAAACAUUAUCUAAUAGUAAAAUGAGCAAAUACUGAGGAAAAGAUAAAAAAAGAAAGCUUAACUGAUUUGGGUGUUGUAGCAAAGUUAAAGGAGCGGUAGUUUUUAUUUUAUUCUUCUGGCUUGCAAUGGCUGUCUAAGAUAUGAUGAAACCAUUUAUUGCAUUCUUUACAUGUCUGGGUCACAGGGUAGGAGGCCAAGACAGAAGCUUUUUUUGCAAAGAGAAAAAGAAACAUUCAACCCUGGCUAGAUUAAUAAAAAUAACUUCACUAAAAUGUGUUAUGAUUCAACAAAUCUAUUCAAAAAUGAUUCAAUGCUGUAGAAAAAAAAGAUAUUUGUUGCAAAAAAAAAAAAAAAAUCUCUGUAUCAUCUCACAUUCCACCAUUAAUGGUGCAAAGUUAGGAAAUCUGUCCAUGUGUUGCUUAAGACCUGUAGGGGCAUGCAGUCUCUACUUCUUUUUAAACAGUAGGUCUUUUCACUCAGUCUGCUUGAAACCUGUUUACGUUCGCUCUCCCAGAGCUGUCUGACAGGACACAUAAUGGCAAGACGAUGCAUAUUUCGCUUUCAAAUUGAACACUGGCAGGUGAGAAAUAUACAAGAUUUAUGAUGCCCUCUUGGGUGUGAUGUGAUGCAUCAAAGAUUCCAGAUUGAAGGAGGCGAGGGAAUGCUCCAUAUAGACCAGGGAGAUGAUCACUGAAGGCCAGCAACUCAAGUCUCAGAACUGGGUUACACGGUAUAAAUCUGCACAGCAAUCCUGGAAGGGGAAGAAAAGAGGGAAUGCAUGCAUGGACAUUAAGUGAUGGAAGUCCUUAUUUGGGCUGCUGCUCCUCGCUUCCUGAGUUCUCAAUCACAGUAUGGAACUGGGAACCUGCUGAGGUGCUCUGUACACGGUCACAAGGAGGAAAUGAUGUCAUUUCUUUACAGUUCAACCCCAUGAACUGGCUCCAGCAUUGUGCUUUGGGCACCACAACCGUCACUGUCUGGAAUAUAGAAAGAUGUGGGAGCAUAGUACAGCUUCCAGCAACCGAUGGCUUUUUGGCAGAGGACCUCCAUCCCCCUCCAACCAAGAACCCAACCUGAGUUGUUCCAGACAUGCGUCUUGUACUAAACAAACAACUUUCAGCUGAACAAAUUGUCAAAAUAAACUGUUCAGCCAAAAGAUUGAUGUUGGCUACAGCUCAUCUUGUUUUUUAACCCUUCCUUGUGUUGCAGGAGAGUGUGAUCCAUUGUCUGCAGAUCACACGUAAGAUCCACAUCACCAAAAGCCCUGAACAUUCUCAGCGGCAACCUUUUGACAGCUGCGUCGUGUCAAACUGACAAAAACAUUUGUGGUAAAAAAUUUAUGUUGUUUUGUGAAUUACAUCUUUAGUUUACCCCUGCAAGCUGCUGUGUGUAUCUUUCUACUAAGUUCAGUCCUUAAGGGAGGGUGGAGUUCUGCAGCUGUUGUCCUCUGAUGGCACCUGCAUCAGCUCACUGGACCUACAAACAGAGACGACAAGUCUUGCCUGCUGUCCCAUUGCGAAUUAUGCAGCUGUUGGAACGGCAUUGACUUCAUUGACUUAAACGACGAGAAGCAACUUCGCCUGGUUCAUGAGGUUUACCUCAACCACGCUGCUGUGGAUCAUCUAGUGCAACUAUCCUCCAUCUAUACAAAAGCAUAAACUUUCAGAUGACCCAUCACACAGACAUUUUUAAUUUAGUGCCAUGAAAAUGAAAUCCAGAUGUGUUUAUUUUCUCUUUUUUACAGUUUUGAACAAGAGGGACACUACCAUUUUCUGCAGUGAAUUGGAUUUACAUCUAUAUGUGGUCAACCCAAGGCCAUCAGGAAGGUUUUCAGUAAUAGUAUACAUUGGUAAGAACUUUUCACGAAAUAUCGCUUAUGUGUAUUUGAGUGCCGUUUUGUUUUUUACUUAUGAUCCUGGACACAUUUUAUCCCUCUCCACCCUGUGCCUCUUCGUGGAAAAUGGGGAAUGAUUGUGUAUUCAAUGCCUGUUGGUAUGACUGAAGAUUAUCUAUUCAGCCAACAGAUGAUCCAGCUGAAACCAAAGGAUCAGGUGAAAGGUCACCCACUCGGGCCUGCCUAUGUCCUUCUGUCUCCUGACAGCUUGUGGCUGCCCUCUGUUGGACAAGAUUGCUUACUGCGGAUCAGGCCUACUGCCUCUAUGGGACAGUAAUGUGAGCUGUGGUGUCAUUCCUGCCGACUCGCUGGACUUCGGACUGUCUCCUCCUCUGCAGACAGUAACACAGUUUCCACAACUGGCUUAAAAGACGGUUCUCUCCAGUGCACCAAUCUCAGAUAACAAUUAUAAUCAUCUUAUUUGCAACUUUGAACAGCAGAGGGUGCCCCUGCUUGCAGGCAUACAGCAUGUCACACCUACAGCUUUAUAUAGCUUUUAAUACACUAUGCUGCUUUUAUAGUCCAUCUGUGGUGCUGGAAAGAGGUAAAUAAAUCUGAUAUAAUGUGGGUGGUAUUUUGAGGUCAUAUAGAAAUAAUGAGCCUAAACUGGAAAAAAACAAAGAUGUACUGUUGUAAAAAUCACAUUCAAGCUCUAAAAACCUUCCCACGCACAUUCCUCAUCUGUCUGCUCUUCCAGCUCCUACACAAAUAAGUCUCAGGUUCCAAGAAGUUGUCACCUUUCUUUUUAGGUAUUCUUGUCUUGGCCUCUGAUGUUUUAUUAUUACUAAUUCUUUAAUAAUGCACUUUAAUUAAAAGUACUCUGUGCCGUUUUAUUGACAGCCAAUGCUAAUGUGAUUAUGUUGCAUUUCAGAGAAGACCAAAGUCAGCAAGAAAGAGAAAUUAUUCGCUUCUGGUGCGGAUUUUCACUAAACAACUGCAACUACAUUAAGACAAUUUGCAUAUUUGAUUUUUUUCAGACUUUCAUACAGAAGUGAGAAUUCCUACAAUGAAGAGAAUAAUGAUCCUACAUGGAAUCGCGAUAUGAUGCCUCUGUCCUUGAAAACUGCAUUAAUUUCUGAAAACCCUGAGCUGAAGAAGUUUUCUGUGUGGGUUGAGGAGACUUCAGAGGAAGAUGCUGUAAAACUGCUCCAUUAUACUCAGCUUUACUGUGACACUGUUUAUUUUCUCUUUUAUGUUUUGCUUUAGAUUAAAUGAUCCUUUAAUUCUAGCUCUACAUGGCACUAAUUACCAAAAAACAAUAGUGUUAUUAGUUGUUUGUUCUGCAUAACUGAUAAUAAUAAGAGUUUUCUUUAAGAUUAUGUAAUUCAUUCAGACCCAUUUGUCACAACAUGUAAACUAUUAAAAGUUAUGGAUCUAUUUAAGAUUUCAGAACCCACAAAUGAUUUUUAAAGCAAAAAAUAAUAAACUGUGCUCCAGUCCAAGUGUAUCCAUUAUGUGGAAAGGUUGGAAUUUGAAGUUCAAAGGAAAACAAAUCUGUGUUUUAGGAAAAAAAUAAUGUGGAUUUAAAAGCACUGUCAAAUAUGGAAAGUUUAAAACCACCAUGCAAAAGUUUAAUAAAUAUAAGUUGGUAUAAUAACUUUGGCUGGACUCCAUAUAUUCACAAAUAUUUUGGAUAUUACUGACUAUAUACUAAUAUAUGUUUAGUGUAUAUGUAUAAUUUCUUAAAUAAAAUUAUUAUAGUAAGCAAAAAGGCAGAGUUUAGAUAAUGCAGGAAGAAGAGGUGAAGAUAUUAUAAGUUCAGACUUCUACCGGCUGCUUUGAUCGGCCAAAUUAGUUUCC